CUAAAUAUAAACAAAGAUUUGAUAUGUAUGCAAACUAACAAUUCACAACAUUUGCAUUUUGAAUAAUGCAGAAAUUAUAAAUAUGAAUUGAAACAUAUGACUCAUGGUUUUAUAAACAGUGCAGUGAUGUUAAGAUAAUAUAACCCAUUAUUUAGACUAGCUUGUUUAUUAUGUUAAGCUGUGAGCCACACACUUUGGAAGGUUGUUAAUGCACACAUAAUGAAGAGAAAACUAGAAUAGUAGCAGGAAAGUGAGGUUUAAUUAUGUUGAAACCAGGGAAACUGACGUUUUUCUCCUUGGAACCUGACGUGAGGAGAAUGGGUGAGGAAGUGUUUCAGCAAGAAUCUCUGGAUCAUGAAAUGCACCUUGAGAACAAUUUGGGUGAAUCGUUAGAAUUUUAUAUUCUGUUGACCAAGUUAUUUAAAUACAUUCCUGGCAAUUGAAAAUCUUUGUUUGACUUGGAUGUCAUUUCCCACAUCUGGAAACCUGUAUGGUUAUCCUCGGAAAGUGAUCUAAAAUCUGUUGCAACUGGCUUGCAGUUGUGACUUGCCAAUGAUAUUACGUUUCUGGAAGUACUCUUUCUAGAAUUACUUGUUUAAAUGUUAACAAUAAAGUUGAGGGAAUGCCAUGAUUGGACCUUGAGCCACACAAUAAGAAGAUUGUUGGCAACUUAGGCAAAGGUGGGAGAUUUGGUCUGGUGUGUAUAAUAAUUACAAGAAAUUACUGCAUGUGGAGUAUGAUUUCUGUUUAAUGAUUGUCAUUUCUAAUGUGCAUUUUAGAUAUUUCAAUAUAUUGCCUACUAUACAUGGCAGUGAAUUUCAUGUUUACUAUUUAUGAUUUAAAUCUUCAGUGUGCAUGAGCAGAAUAUUUUACAUCUAUAGUAAAAUAUUUCAUAAAGUUUAUUUAAGAGAAUAAAUGAAACUCUUUGUCUACCUUCGAUUUUCCAGCAUCUGCAGUUCCCUCUUAAACACUUUGUCUACUCCACUGCGAAAUCUCCUCAAGAUACUGAGAGAAAACGGGCCCUGCGGAUAUGCUUGAAAUGCCAGUGCUUCAGCUGAGAAGAGGGGGGGAUACUGUUCUGUCCUAAUUGCUAUCUACAGUCUUCUGGUUUGAUGUUUAGAGCUACGGCAUGGAAACAGGCUCUUUGGCCCACCGAGUCAUCGCUGACCAACAUUCACUCGUACACUAGUUCUACGUUUUGAGGUCGCAGAGAGAACGUAAAAACCCCAUACAGACAGCACCCGCAUUCAGGAUCAAACUAAUGCUGUAAGGCAAACCUGCUCAACAAUUGUUCAGAAAGAAAAAAAGGUUGGUUCAAUCACAGUUGGGACAUGCAUGGUUGAAUGGCAGGUAAACUG